rnacentral:lncRNA from 1 species
GUGUGAUGCCACAAACACCCAUGAUAAAGCUUAAAUACUGAGGAAUCUGAUCACAAAGCACCACAAAAGCGGAUAGCAAUACAAAAUAGAAAUACAAAUCUCUUGAAAGACCACAUCAAAGAGAUACUUCUCUCACCAGCUUCCCGUCAAAAUCACUUGACAACUCGUUUACAUAGAGACUUAUGUUCUUUGUCUUUUAAUUAACAACAUCAUCGGCCCAUGGAUCUAAACUCGACCUCACGCUACAAUAAGAGAAUUAUCAGUAACAGUUUACGAACAAUAUAUCAUUAGUGGAUCAACAUGGUGUCACCACUUUUUAAUAGAUACAAAUCCUAACCUGCUUGGAUUGUUUCAUGGAUAUAUACUAUUCCAACAUAUGUCUUCCCUCCAACGUACCUCUGUUUUGAAGUGAUGUUAAUGGGUCCAUAUACUUGUUGAAACUUAUUCUGUAAAACUCAUUUUACUCCACUGUUGUCACCUCCUUAGAGUCCCGAAUCUGCAACAAAUAGAAAUAUACUCUUUAAUUGAUUCCAUAAUUUUGAUUCUGAGCGUACAUGUACAUGAGAUACAUAGAGCAGUCCUAAAUCCUUACCCAACUUGGUU